rnacentral:misc_RNA from 1 species
CUCAGGCCAUUCCUUCAUGACGCAAAGAGGGGAAGUUAGAGAACAAACAAUCUAUCAUGAAAAAUGAAAUGCAUGAGAACAUGUGGACAGACACAGAGAGUACGCCUUGUUUAGACCAGUUAGAUGUAGUGUAUAAACAUGGAAAUGAUACGAAUAAAUGUUGCUGUACUGAUCCAGCCAUUCAAGAUAGGCAACCCAUAUUAAAGCAGAAUUCAAAUGGAGAUUUUAAGCACCCUGUAUUCACCUUCCUUCCUAUUCACCCAAAGCUCACUCCACCUUGUCUUAUUUUUUGUUCCCCAACCAACCCUAAAGAUUCCCAUUAAUACACAUUAAUCUACUCUUUUUCCCUUGGCAGAUAAGUUGAUAUAGUACUUUGUAUGUUAGUCAGAGAUGUAACUAUGAUACAGGCUGGGCCUUUUUUUCAUCCAUUCAAUUCAAUCCAUGAUGCCCCCAAAAAAAAAAAGAUGACAGUUAAAUAGUUUAAUUUUACUUGGACGUGAAAUUCCAAACACCAAUGGCCAAGCAUUCCAGCUAGAGAGAACAAAUAUGACUGUUUUAUGAUGCAGAUGAUUAGUCAGGAAGCACGAAGGGAAGAGCAAAGAGAACAUGGGCGUUAUAUUCUAGAAGGCCAAAGAAAGAUCUAGAAGAGCACAAAUAAGCUAUCCAGCCAAGCACCAUUCUGUUAGAGGAACUUUUGGAAGAGCAUGUAACAGAGGCAGCAGGGAAAUCUACAUAAAGAAUAGAAAUGAUGAGAGGGGCAUGUGAAGGAAUUAGUCUGUUUGAUUUUAUUUUUCCAGCUAGAUAGAUAGCUUGGGGGCAGAGAGGAAUUCCUGCUUGGGAGGAUUAUCUUCUAGUAUUUGUUCCUUAUUUUAUGUUCAGCAUUCGCCAUUGAACUCUGAGUAUAUGCCAUAAAAUUCAUUCUCCAUUUUCCUCCAUAAAUUUUCUGGAUUCUUUCUAUAAUUGAUUGUUUAAAUUCAGAUUCAGAUUCCUUACUCUAUCAGUUUUAGGAUUUCAAUCGUCACGAUUAUACCACCAAUCAAGUUCAGCUGUGUUGAUCAAUCUAACAAAAUCAGCAGCUGUUGCACAGAAAGUUACCUCAACGCUGAUAUACCAUUUACUGUUAGGAUUCCGAUGAGGCUGAGCAUUGUAGUUGAUCAGACCAUAUAGAAGCCCAUGCCUGAUAUUUGUUCUGCGCAAAGAAGCUAGCACUUCAUCCACUCGAACAAAUGCAUCAUCAUCUGUUUUCAUGACAUAGUUGGCUGAAAUGACUUCUGCCCCAAAAGUACAGAUUGCUACAGUCUUCCAGGUUAUAAGAUUGUAAUAGUCAACAAAAGGCACUAGCUGAAUGUCUCCAUACGUCUGUAAUUCAUUCCAGAGCUGCUCAUUCACCAUCUGGUUUCUAUGUAGACCAACAAAAAAGCGCACUGCAACUGCUCCUGUCUUCACAGCGGGGUACUGCAUCCAUGUUCUACGAACAGCCGUCCUGCGCUCAAAAUUGUUGGCUGUAGAAAAGACACCAAUGAAGAGAUCCAGUGGCUGGUUUGGUGGUAGUUGAGCUGAUUUUAAUGACUCUAAAUCAACAAUGUGGUCUGAUUCCUCAGAUGAGGGUAAGCCACUGGCCAAGAUAGAGAUUAAGUUCAAGUCUCCAGAUAUCCUUACUUGACUAACAAGCCAUGGCUCCAAACUUUCACGAAAAGCAAAAGAUGUUAUGUGCUUUCCAUCAACUGUCAUCUGAAUUCCUUCUUCUCCCACCCUAAGUGUCAUAACAGACAAAUAACCUUGCUUAAACGGAAAAUACCGUCCAGCUCUAGAUCUGUUCCUGGACAUUGACGACCUACUUGCAGCAAAUUUGCGGCUAUCAUUUUUGCCCACCAUUUCAUUGCACUGGUUUAAGUCAUCAACUUUCUUAUUAUCACCAGGGACAGCAGGGGGGCACCGCUCCUCUUCACCCCAAUCAUGAGCUGCUGUCCAUGUGUUUUGGACAAUCACAGGAUCCUCAGUUAUCUUGUCACCUAGAAGUCGAACAUUGUAAUGCAGAAUAAUAGGAGGCUCUGGCUCUCCUGGAAGUGAUUCCCCUGAUAAAUCAAACUGGAAACUGCCAAGAAGACCAUUGGGAAUGCCAAUUAUAGUAAUUGCAGAACCCUGAAUAAGGCCACACGGUAUUCUUAGCUUAUAUCCAUCUUUACCAAAUUCUGUGGUAUUCAUUUUGUUUAGAAAAUAAGGACAUUGUUUCUCCUUCAAUCCAUUAGCAUCACCUUGUUCCCCCUUCUUAAAGGACUCCAUAAGACUCUCCCAUGCGACUUGAGCUUCCCUUAUGGCCUCCAUUGCAUUAGGCAAACCUUGUGAAUAAUUGACUAGAUGUCUCAUACGAUUCCAAGUCAAUAAUGAACUUUCAACUUCAUGGGAAAAGUUCCUGUCAAUAAAGAGACUAGAGAGCAGGGUUGCUGUAGAAAUCACUUGACUAGCAGAUUCUGGGCUACGGAAUGCAGGUGGAGCCCCGGGGUUAAUCCAUUCAAGAGGAUUAGAUAUAUUUACACUUAUAGGACUUGUCAAUGUACCUUCCCCAAAUGGAUUUUUCAUCACACCCAGCCUUAGAACUAUCAGCAUAAAGAGGGACCCAGCGAGAACACCACAGAGACACCUCUUCAUUUUUGCUCAACUGAACCUUUGCAUCAACGGUUCCAAACUCUAAGGCUGCCACUCCCCUGAAAAUUUAGACAACCACCAAGAGCGUGAGGAGCGGUCACAGCAACUACGUUGAGCAAUAAUCACCUACUCCGACCCAAUUUCACAAACUGCGGCCCUGUCAACCCAACUCAGAUACUACAAUUCACAAUCCAAUGCUUCAACCUCUCAAAUUCAUAAACUUUACCACGAAUGCAGAACGGUAGAUCAAAUUUAACAGCCCUUUUUUCCCACAAAAUUCUGAAAGUGGAAGAAAGAAGAUGAAAAGGAAGAGGAAGAGCAAGCGUGAAAAGAGAGGGCUGAGUUGAACGGACAAACAAAGGAAGAAUAUUUGGAAGAGGAAGUUUCAAACAAAUUGUAUUUGGAAGAAAAACAAACACUUGAAGUCUACGCCUAGGUCGGUUGUUGUCGAGAGAGUCGAUGUUUU